rnacentral:rRNA from 1 species
UGCUGGAGGUAUCAGAAGUGCGAAUGCUGACAUAAGUAACGAUAAAGCGGGUGAAAAGCCCGCUCGCCGGAAGACCAAGGGUUCCUGUCCAACGUUAAUCGGGGCAGGGUGAGUCGACCCCUAAGGCGAGGCCGAAAGGCGUAGUCGAUGGGAAACAGGUUAAUAUUCCUGUACUUGGUGUUACUGCGAAGGGGGGACGGAGAAGGCUAUGUUGGCCGGGCGACGGUUGUCCCGGUUUAAGCGUGUAGGCUGGUUUUCCAGGCAAAUCCGGAAAACCAAGGCUGAGGCGUGAUGACGAGGCACUACGGUGCUGAAGCGACAAAUGCCCUGCUUCCAGGAAAAGCCUCUAAGCAUCAGGUAACAUCAAAUCGUACCCCAAACCGACACAGGUGGUCAGGUAGAGAAUACCAAGGCGCUUGAGAGAACUCGGGUGAAGGAACUAGGCAAAAUGGUGCCGUAACUUCGGGAGAAGGCACGCUGAUAUGUAGGUGAAGCGACUUGCUCGUGGAGCUGAAAUCAGUCGAAGAUACCAGCUGGCUGCAACUGUUUAUUAAAAACACAGCACUGUGCAAACACGAAAGUGGACGUAUACGGUGUGACGCCUGCCCGGUGCCGGAAGGUUAAUUGAUGGGGUUAGCGGCAACGCGAAGCUCUUGAUCGAAGCCCCGGUAAACGGCGGCCGUAACUAUAACGGUCCUAAGGUAGCGAAAUUCCUUGUCGGGUAAGUUCCGACCUGCACGAAUGGCGUAAUGAUGGCCAGGCUGUCUCCACCCGAGACUCAGUGAAAUUGAACUCGCUGUGAAGAUGCAGUGUACCCGCGGCAAGACGGAAAGACCCCGUGAACCUUUACUAUAGCUUGACACUGAACAUUGAGCCUUGAUGUGUAGGAUAGGUGGGAGGCUUUGAAGUGUGGACGCCAGUCUGCAUGGAGCCGACCUUGAAAUACCACCCUUUAAUGUUUGAUGUUCUAACGUUGGCCCGUAAUCCGGGUUGCGGACAGUGUCUGGUGGGUAGUUUGACUGGGGCGGUCUCCUCCUAAAGAGUAACGGAGGAGCACGAAGGUUGGCUAAUCCUGGUCGGACAUCAGGAGGUUAGUGCAAUGGCAUAAGCCAGCUUGACUGCGAGCGUGACGGCGCGAGCAGGUGCGAAAGCAGGUCAUAGUGAUCCGGUGGUUCUGAAUGGAAGGGCCAUCGCUCAACGGAUAAAAGGUACUCCGGGGAUAACAGGCUGAUACCGCCCAAGAGUUCAUAUCGACGGCGGUGUUUGGCACCUCGAUGUCGGCUCAUCACAUCCUGGGGCUGAAGUAGGUCCCAAGGGUAUGGCUGUUCGCCAUUUAAAGUGGUACGCGAGCUGGGUUUAGAACGUCGUGAGACAGUUCGGUCCCUAUCUGCCGUGGGCGCUGGAGAACUGAGGGGGGCUGCUCCUAGUACGAGAGGACCGGAGUGGACGCAUCACUGGUGUUCGGGUUGUCAUGCCAAUGGCACUGCCCGGUAGCUAAAUGCGGAAGAGAUAAGUGCUGAAAGCAUCUAAGCACGAAACUUGCCCCGAGAUGAGUUCUCCCUGAGACUUAGAGUCUCCUGAAGGAACGUUGAAGACGACGACGUUGAUAGGCCGGGUGUGUAAGCGCAGCGAUGCGUUGAGCUAACCGGUACUAAUGAACCGUGAGGCUUAACCUU